rnacentral:misc_RNA from 1 species
GUGAAACUUCUCUUCCUUUAGUUCUAAGCCAAUUGAAUAUCUUUUAUUUCAUGAUCACCAGCAUUUGUUGCCCAUUCCUUGUUGUUUUAAUGGUGUAGGGGCAGGUUGAAGCUACACUACUAUAUAGAAGCUUAUCCUCCUUCAUGGCUAGCAAGGGUGACUCACCAGAAAAUUUUAAUGUGCCCUUGGAUAUUGUAAGUUUGGUAUUUGAUCUUUUACCCCAUAAAAAGGAUAAGAAAAUUGUAUGCCAUAUAGAAGCAUAUCUUUCUUCAUUUUUGGGCCCUUUUGUGCUUAGCCUUCUUCUUUCUCCUCCUUUAUUUUUAUGUUUUGUUUUGGAUUGUUUGUAAUUACAGAGAAGAAAGAAGAUCAGUGGGCAGCAAAAGAGAGAGGCACUUGAAAGAGAGGUAGAUAUAUUUUUUAUAUUGUAUGCAUAUGCAUGUUCAUAUUAAUUACUCAUAUAUAUUUAUAUUAAUUAAUUUUUGGAGAAGUAAAUAUAUAGCUAUAAAUAAAAAAUAAUUUAUAUAUUUUCUUAUGAUUAAUUUCUACCUUUAUUUAUCCAUGAUUAAUUUUCUUUUCAUAAGGCUUGUUUCUUUUAAGAGAGCAGUAAAAAAUUUAAGUAUCUCUAGUAUGCAACCAUAUGCAAGUACUUCUUGAGAACCCAUCACUCUUUAUUAUUUUCCACAACAUGGGUAUCAGUAAAUGAGAACCAUACCUAUGUGUAUUCUAUAUGUAUUGAAUAAAUUCCAUGAAGUUGAUAAACCCAUAUAGGUUUCUGCCCUUCAAAAAAUGCUGAAACAAGAAGAGAAGGUGCAUGAAAUUUUGGAGCAUUUGCAGAACAAAGGUGAUCAUGGCUCUGGGAUCUCUAUCCCAAACUUCCUUCCUCCCAAGGCAAAGGAGCUUUUAGCAGAAUUAGCUAUGGUUGAAAGUGAGAUAGUUCGACUGGAAUCCCAAAUAAGCCAACUUCAAAAAGGGUUGAAACGUGAACAGGAAAUUGCAAAAGAGACAAAACCAAAAAAAUGGCAACCUGGAAGUAGUGUAAACAAUCUCCAAAACCAUUUAUGGAGUACCACCAUGCCAAGCCCUUUAAAUAGAGGCAUUAUUCAAGAGAAGAUGGCAUUUGAGACCAAAGCAUUGCAUUUCAUAAGUAAAGCAAUUAAAGGUGACUAUAAUCUUAAUGAUUUCACUCUCAAUGAGAAAAUGGGAAGCUCCAGAGUAUUUCCUGACCUGAAAGAAAAUCAAUUCCAUGAGGAAAUCAAAUUUCAAGAAAGGAUUCCAAGAAAAAGUGGGAUGCUCAAGUCUCCUUCACCUUUGCGAGACCCCAGACAUCCAUCACCCAGGCCAAGAGAGAAGAAUGUGGAAUUCUCCUUGGACCACUUACCAAAAUCACUGUCCAAUGCAAUUCUAUCAGAAGAGAACAAUAACCAGCAAUGCCAGCCCAACAAGCUAUCGGAGAACAUCAUCAAGUGUUUGAACUUUAUAUAUGCUAGGUUGCUAAGAACAUCAAGAACAAUGGAACUUGAGAAGUCAGGCCCCAUUUCAAGGUCUCUGCAAACUUCUUUAAUAUCAAGAAGUUUCAGAACUGAUACAAGUUCAAACACCAAGUCAAACCUUGUGUUACAAAAGGAAUCAAGACAACAGGACCCAUAUGGCAUCUUUGAUAUGGAAGAGUCCAUUCCAAGGGAUAUUGGCCCUUACAAGAACUUGAUUAUUUUCACAUCAAGCUCUAUGGACCCAAAAUUCAUUUCAAGUUCUAGUUCUAUUCCUCUGCUAAGAAGGUUAAGGGUCUUAAUGAACAAUCUGCAGACUGUGGACUUGAGAUUCUUGACCUACCAACAGAAACUAGCCUUCUGGAUCAACAUGUACAAUGCUUGUAUCAUGCAUGUAUAUUAUAGCAAAUUUUUAUGCUCAAUUAUUUCUUUUUAUCUCAUGGAGAUAUUGGCUAAUCUGAUGUGCUUGUAAUCCCAUAACUUCAUCAUCAGCAGCAUAUGUAUAAGAGCACACAUGUAUAGCUGCUGGUCUGAUGUACAGGCAGGGCUAGGCACACAUCAGGAUAGCAUUAUAUGUGCAUAUUAUUUUAAUCACUCCUUUUUAAAUAUCUCAUAUUGUAUCCAUUACAACUUCAGGGAUUUCUCCAGUAUGGAGUGCCUUCAUCUCCUGAAAAAUUGUUCACGUUGAUGAACAAGGCAACACUAGACAUUGGUGGGAACACAAUCAAUGCUCAGGCAAUAGAGCAGUAUAUUUUGAGGAAGCCAACAUCUUCCAGCAAGGUUAAUCAAAAGAAUGAUAAGGAUGAUAAAGAAGCCCUUGUUCGUAAACUUUACGGCCUCGAAUCGAUGGAUCCUAACGUCACAUUUGCUCUUUGCUGUGGAACACGUUCUUCUCCAGCUGUGAGAGUAUAUACAGCUGAUGGUGUUAUAGCUGAAUUGGAGAAAUCCAAGCUAGAGUACUUGCAAGCCUCAAUUGUGGUGACUAGCACAAAAAGAAUUGCAUUCCCAGAUCUUCUGCUUAGAAACAUGCUUGAUUUUGCCUUGGACACAAACUCAUUAGUGGAAUGGGUUUGCCAUCAGUUGCCUACAUCUGGGACAUUGAGGAAAUCAAUAGUGGAUUGCUUCAGGGGCCAUAACAGUGGCAAAAUAACCAGCAUUUCUGUUGAGAAGAUACCAUAUGACUUUGAGUUCCAGUAUCUGUUGGCAAUAUAGACUUUCACUAACAUAUUUCCAAGUUUUUUUUUUCUCCAUAUGUUGCUGAAUCCAUAUGUUGUUGAAAGAUGAACAAGGAGAAUAAUGAGAAAAGUCACAUUGCUUGAACUAAUAAACUUUCUAAAACACUCUGACUUUGCUGAUAUUCUAUUGGAGGCUUCAUAUAUGUAUCAUUUACAUUGUACAUAGUGAGUGACCAUAAAGAAAUGAGAGUUGGUAUUGGAGUGUAAUUUUUAUUGAAUUCUCUCACUGCUUUUCUU